GAACCGCGUGAAGGAUCAUUAAUGAGAGGGGUUUUCGGACUCCGGGGCCCUCGGCCCCCAACUCUUCCCCCGGUGUCUUUCUACCCUUGUUGCUUUGGCGGGCCUUGGGGCUCGCCCCAUACCGGCCACGGGCUUCGCUGCCCGGGCCUGUGCGCGCCCGUCAGAGGUCCAUCAAACCCUAUUUAUCAGUGACGUCCGAGUAAAACCACAAUAGUAAAAACUUUCAACAACGGAUCUCUUGGUUCUGGCAUCGAUGAAGAACGCAGCGAAAUGCGAUAAGUAAUGUGAAUUGCAGAAUUCAGUGAAUCAUCGAAUCUUUGAACGCACAUUGCGCCCCUCGGUAUUCCGGGGGGCAUGCCUGUUCGAGCGUCAUUGCACCCCUCAAGCUCAGCUUGGUAUUAGGUCUUCGCCCCCGUGGCGGGCCCGAAAUUCAGUGGCGGUCCGGCGUGACUUCGAGCGUAGUAAAAUUUCUCCCGCUUUGGAAGCUCACGCUGCGGCUGGCCAGAACGCCUAUCGUUUCCCACAAUUGACCUCGGAUCAGGUAGGGAUACCCGCUGAACUUAA
rnacentral:rRNA from 1 species